AGUGAACGCUGGCGGUAGGCCUAACACAUGCAAGUCGAACGGCAGCACAGUAAGAGCUUGCUCUUACGGGUGGCGAGUGGCGGACGGGUGAGGAAUGCAUCGGAAUCUACUUUUUCGUGGGGGAUAACGUAGGGAAACUUACGCUAAUACCGCAUACGACCUACGGGUGAAAGCAGGGGAUCUUCGGACCUUGCGCGAUUGAAUGAGCCGAUGUCGGAUUAGCUAGUUGGCGGGGUAAAGGCCCACCAAGGCGACGAUCCGUAGCUGGUCUGAGAGAAUGAUCAGCCACACUGGAACUGAGACACGGGCCAGACUCCUACGGGAGGCAGCAGUGGUGAAGAUUGGACAAUGGGCGCAAGCCUGAUCCAGCAAUACAGCGUGUGUGAAAAAGACCUUCGGGUUUUAAAGCCCUUUUGUUGGGAAAGAAAAGCAGCAGGUUAAUACCCCGCUGUUCUGACGGUACCCAAAUAAUAAGCACCGGCUAACUUCGUG
rnacentral:rRNA from 1 species